AGGCCGAGAUGGGGACAAUAUUGU
rnacentral:miRNA from 9 species